rnacentral:rRNA from 1 species
GACGAACGCUGGCGGCGUGCCUAAUGCAUGCAAGUCGCACGGGCUGCCUUCGGGCAGCUAGUGGCGCACGGCUGAGGAACACGUGGGAACCUGCCCGACCGUGGGGGACAACACCGCGAAAGCGGUGCUAAUCCCGCAUACGCUCCGCGGAGGAAAGCGCUUCGGCGCGCGGUCGGAGGGGCCUGCGUCCCAUCAGGUAGUUGGCGGGGUAACGGCCCACCAAGCCGACGACGGGUAGCUGGUCUGGGAGGAUGACCAGCCAGACUGGGACUGAGACACGGCCCAGACUCCUACGGGAGGCAGCAGUAGGGAAUCUUCCACAAUGGGCGCAAGCCUGAUGGAGCGACGCCGCGUGAGUGAGGAAGGCCUUCGGGUCGUAAAGCUC